GUGGGGAAUAUUGGACAAUGGGCGAAAGCCUGAUCCAGCCAUGCCGCGUGUGUGAAGAAGGUCUUCGGAUUGUAAAGCACUUUAAGUUGGGAGGAAGGGCAGUAAGUUAAUACCUUGCUGUUUUGACGUUACCGACAGAAUAAGCACCGGCUAACUUCGUGCCAGCAGCCGCGGUAAUACGAAGGGCGCAAGCGUUAAUCGGAAUUACUGGGCGUAAAGCGCGCGUAGGUGGUUUUGUAAGUUGGAGGUGAAAUCCCCGGGCUCAACCUGGGAACUGCCUCCAAAACUGCAUGACUAGAGUACGGUAGAGGGUAGUGGAAUUUCCUGUGUAGCGGUGAAAUGCGUAGAUAUAGGAAGGAACACCAGUGGCGAAGGCGACUACCUGGACUGAUACUGACACUGAGGUGCGAAAGCGUGGGGAGCAAACAGGAUUAGAAACCCCAGUAGUCC
rnacentral:rRNA from 1 species